CUAACACAUGCAAGUCGAGCGGUAGCGUGGUUAGUAGCAAUACUAACUGAUGACGAGCGGCGGACGGGUGAGGAACACGUAGGAACCUGCCCAAGAGAGGGGGAUAACUAAGGAAAACUUUAGCUAAUACCGCAUAAUUCUCUGAGGAGAAAAGUUGCCCGUAAGGGUAGCGCUUUUGGAGGGGCCUGCGUCCGAUUAGUUAGUUGGUGAGGUAAUGGCUCACCAAGACUGUGAUCGGUAACUGGUCUGAGAGGACGACCAGUCACACUGGGACUGAGACACGGCCCGGACUCCUACGGGAGGCAGCAGUGGGGAAUCUUGGACAAGGGGGGCAACCCUGAUCCAGCGAUGCCGCGUGGGUGAAGAAGGCCUUCGGGUUGUAAAGCCCUUUAGGCUGGGAAGAAGUUUAUGGGAUGAAUAAUCCUGUAAAUUGACGGUACCAGCAGAAUAAGCACCGGCAAACUCUGUGCCAGCCGCCGCCGUAA
rnacentral:rRNA from 1 species